UACGUAGGGGGCAAGCGUUGUCCGGAAUCAUUGGGCGUAAAGCGCGUGUAGGCGGCUCGGUAAGUCUGCUGUGAAAGUCCAGGGCUCAACCCUGGGAUGCCGGUGGAUACUGUCGAGCUCGAGUCCGGAAGAGGCGAGUGGAAUUCCUGGUGUAGCGGUGAAAUGCGCAGAUAUCAGGAGGAACACCUAUUGCGAAGGCAGCUCGCUGGGACGUAACUGACGCUGAGACGCGAAAGCGUGGGGAGCAAACAGG
rnacentral:rRNA from 1 species